AACAACAUUGUCAGCACUCAGAUACUCCUUAAGGAACCCUUCGACCAUAACUCUGGGAACACUAGUACAAACCACUCGACAACCUGCGGCGGCCCAGACCUCGUAGACUUGAAGAUUCAGGUUUUCAAGAAAGAACUUGGGCAGCACAGCCCUUCCAACACUGUCCAUGUCUUUCAGUCUGAGUCCGCAGAAUGUAAUGAAGAUCAUGACUCUUAACUUCAACUCGUAGUUCAGAAAACAGAGGAAUGGAUAUGAUAAGAGCAGUAAAAAUGCUCUCAACAAGUUACCGCCUUCGAAAGCGACUAACAUGAAGUAAGGGAAGAUGGAGUGUGACCUUAGCAAAGUACUAUCUAUGUCACAGACCAGAGUUUCGGAUCCUCUGUUUUGUACUCUGCAUUUCGUUACACCAGGGUAAAUACUGGGAGAAGCCUGGUGCUGUUGUGAUCGAAGAGGUGGAUUUCUCGAGAAGAAACCGUAAUUCUUUACCUUCAUUGCAGCUCGGUAACAUGAAUUUGCUAGAAGCUGGUAGAUUAGCCACUCUACUAGCUUUAGAAACACCAUGGUAAAAACCAUGCUUUGUAAUGGAAAAAUGAUAUGUAUNACAAGCAAGCCUGAACUAGUUAACAGACCAGUAAAACGUUUACCAGAAGUGUGCAGCUCUGUUCCAACAACAUUGUCAGCACUCAGAUACUCCUUAAGGAACCCUUCGACCAUAACUCUGGGAACACUAGUACAAACCACUCGACAACCUGCGGCGGCCCAGACCUCGUAGACUUGAAGAUUCAGGUUUUCAAGAAAGAACUUGGGCAGCACAGCCCUUCCAACACUGUCCAUGUCUUUCAGUCUGAGUCCGCAGAAUGUAAUGAAGAUCAUGACUCUUAACUUCAACUCGUAGUUCAGAAAACAGAGGAAUGGAUAUGAUAAGAGCAG
rnacentral:lncRNA from 1 species